rnacentral:rRNA from 1 species
ACAAGCGGUGGAGCAUGUGGUUUAAUUCGACGCAACGCGAAGAACCUUACCUGGUUUGACAUCCCGAUCGUACUCUAUGGAAACAUAGGGGUCAGUUCGGCUGGAUCGGUGACAGGUGCUGCAUGGCUGUCGUCAGCUCGUGUCGUGAGAUGUUGGGUUAAGUCCCGCAACGAGCGCAACCCUUGUCCUUAGUUGCCACCAUUCAGUUGGGCACUCUAAGGAGACUGCCGGUGUUAAACCGGAGGAAGGUGGGGAUGACGUCAAGUCCUCAUGGCCCUUAUAUCCAGGGCUACACACGUGCUACAAUGGCCGGUACAAAGGGUCGCAAUACCGCGAGGUGGAGCUAAUCCCAUAAAGCCAGUCGUAGUCCGGAUCGUAGUCUGCAACUCGACUACGUGAAGUCGGAAUCGCUAGUAAUCGUGGAUCAGAAUGUCACGGUGAAUACGUUCCCGGGUCUU